ensembl:lncRNA GTF2IP1 general transcription factor IIi pseudogene 1
AGUGGGCAAUCGAAUUAAAUUUGUUAUUAAAAGACCAGAACUUCUGACUCACAGUACCACUGAAGUUACUCAGCCAAGAACGAAUACACCAGGUUAACCUCAGCAUGCUUUUGAUUUGGUCAAGCAAUCAAAGUACUGGUGAAGAAUUGAAGAUUGGAAGUGACACAUUUUUUGCUCAGGGAAGUAAUGGAGAAAGAAAAAUCUUCCUGGAGGUAGAUCUUCAGUUUGGAUUAGUCUGAACAUGAUGAAACCUGUAGAAACCUUCAUUUCUCAAGACAAAGCUCAAAUUCAAGGUUGUGAGGAAUGCAGUCACCACUUUUGUUAGGGGCAGUUGUGACAGUGAGUGACUGCAAAAACU